AUUGAACGCUGGCGGCAUGCUUUACACAUGCAAGUCGAACGGUAACAGGCCGCAAGGUGCUGACGAGUGGCGAACGGGUGAGUAAUGCAUCGGAACGUGCCCAGUCGUGGGGGAUAACGCAGCGAAAGCUGCGCUAAUACCGCAUACGAUCUAUGGAUGAAAGCGGGGGACCGUAAGGCCUCGCGCGAUUGGAGCGGCCGAUGUCAGAUUAGGUAGUUGGUGGGGUAAAGGCUCACCAAGCCAACGAUCUGUAGCUGGUCUGAGAGGACGACCAGCCACACUGGGACUGAGACACGGCCCAGACUCCUACGGGAGGCAGCAGUGGGGAAUUCUGGACAAUGGGCGCAAGCCUGAUCCAGCAAUGCCGCGUGCAGGAAGAAGGCCUUCGGGUUGUAAACUGCUUUUGUACGGAACGAAACGGUCCGGGUUAAUACCCUAGGCUAAUGACGGUACCGUAAGAAUAAGCACCGGCUAACUACGUGCCAGCCGCCGCGGUAAAAC
rnacentral:rRNA from 1 species